rnacentral:rRNA from 1 species
GGCGGCGUGCCUAACACAUGCAAGUCGAACGGAACUUCUUUAAAGGAUUUCUUCGGAAUGAAUUUGAUUAAGUUAGUGCGGACGGGUGAGUAACGCGUGAGUAACCUGCCUCUGAGAGGGGAAUAACAUUCUGAAAAAGAAUGCUAAUACCGCAUAACAUAUAUUUAUCGCAUGGUAGAUAUAUCAAAGAUUUAUCGCUUAGAGAUGGACUCGCGUCCGAUUAGUUAGUUGGUGAGGUAACGGCUCACCAAGACUGCGAUCGGUAGCCGGACUGAGAGGUUGAACGGCCACAUUGGGACUGAGACACGGCCCAGACUCCUACGGGAGGCAGCAGUGGGGGAUAUUGCGCAAUGGGGGAAACCCUGACGCAGCAACGCCGCGUGAAGGAUGAAGGUCUUCGGAUUGUAAACUUCUUUUAUUAAGGACGAAGAAAGUGACGGUACUUAAUGAAUAAGCUCCGGCUAACUACGUG